AGAGUUUGAUCCUGGCUCAGAUUGAACGCUGGCGGCAUGCUUUACACAUGCAAGUCGAACGGGGUGGUGGGGCAACCUGCCACUCAGUGGCGAACGGGUGAGGAGAGCAUCGGAACGUGUCUGCUUGUGGGGGAUAACCAGUCGAAAGAUUGGCUAAUACCGCAUGAGAUCGCAAGAUGAAAGCAGGGGACCCGCAAGGGCCUUGCGCGAGCGGAGCGGCCGAUGUCCGAUUAGCUAGUCGGUGGGGUAACGGCCCACCGAGGCGACGAUCGGUAGCGGGCCUGAGAGGGUGGUCCGCCACACUGGGACUGAGACACGGCCCAGACUCCUACGGGAGGCAGCAGUGGGGAAUUUUGGACAAUGGGGGCAACCCUGAUCCAGCCAUGCCGCGUGGGUGAAGAAGGCCUUCGGGUUGUAAAGCCCUUUCGGCGGGAACGAAAUCGCCUGGGAUAACACCGCAGGCGGAUGACGGUACUCGCAGAAGA
rnacentral:rRNA from 1 species